GUAGGGGGCGAGCGUUGUCCGGAUUUACUGGGCGUAAAGCGCGCGUAGGCGGCUCGUUAAGUCGGGUGUGAAACCCCGGGGCUCAACCCCGGGACUGCAUCCGAUACUGGCGGGCUCGAGGCAGGUAGGGGAGAGUGGAAUUCCCGGUGUAGCGGUGAAAUGCGCAGAUAUCGGGAGGAACACCGGUGGCGAAGGCGGCUCUCUGGGCCUGUCCUGACGCUCAGGCGCGAAAGCUAGGGGAGCAAACAGGAUUAGAUACCCUGGUAGUCCUAGCUGUAAACGUUGGGUGCUAGGUGUGGGGCGGGGAUCGACCCGUUCCGUGCCGAAGCUAACGCAUUAAGCACCCCGCCUGGGGAGUACGGCCGCAAGGCUAAA
rnacentral:rRNA from 1 species